rnacentral:rRNA from 1 species
UACGUAGGGUGCGAGCGUUAAUCGGAAUUACUGGGCGUAAAGCGUGCGCAGGCGGUUCGCUAAGACCGAUGUGAAAUCCCCGGGCUUAACCUGGGAACUGCAUUGGUGACUGGCGGGCUAGAGUAUGGCAGAGGGGGGGUAGAAUUCCACGUGUAGCAGUGAAAUGCGUAGAGAUGUGGAGGAAUACCGAUGGCGAAGGCAGCCCCCCUGGGCCAAUACUGACGCUCAUGCACGAAAGCGUGGGGAGCAAACAGG